UACGUAGGGGGCAAGCGUUGUUCGGAAUUACUGGGCGUAAAGGGCGCGUAGGCGGCAUGGCAAGUCGGGAGUGAAAGGCCUGGGCUCAACCGAGGAACUGCUUUCGAGACUGCCAAGCUAGAGUGCGGAAGGGGCAUCUGGAAUUCCCAGUGUAGCGGUGAAAUGCGUAGAUAUUGGGAAGAACACCUGAGGCGAAGGCGGGAUGCUGGGCCGACACUGACGCUGAGGCGCGAAAGCCAGGGGAGCAAACAGG
rnacentral:rRNA from 1 species